AUUAACAACAGGAAAAUAGUAAAAAGGGUGACGCUUUCCCCACUGCUGCAGGGUUAAGCUGCAGAUUUUGUCAAUUUCUUCCUGUUCUGCAGAGUCCUCAAAAAACAUUUGCAAAGGUGCUAAGAAGAUGAUACCACCGGAUGAAUCAAGCUGUUUCUAAAGAUUGGCAUAAGGUGGGUGGGAUAUACAUAACAGUGGCUAUUGAAGUGAGGUCUACACAGACCCCAGGGGUGGACAUAUCCAAGCUUCAAGAACAGCUAGCUAUUGCUCCAUGACUCGCAGCCAUUAGCUUCUGGGUUAUUCCUCUCUUAGCAAUGCCCUCCUCAGCAGGCCAAAAAUGAAGAGACACUGAGACCCACUGACCACACUUAAACUUUUUAAUGUCAUCGUCAUCUGCUGGUUCUAGGUUUAUUUUCCACUGACCAAUUAUCAGGCAGAGGUGGCUUAACCAUGAC
rnacentral:lncRNA from 1 species